AGACACUUCAAAGGUGGCAUCUUCAAAAGCUUGUUAAAUCAAAGUUAGAAUUGUGUGGCAUGAGCCUUAAGUAAUAGAGAAGGAGUGGGAUUGGAGUAUUCCUACCCCCAUUCUGAGUAUCUUUGGGUAUGGGAAGUAUGACCCAGCGCUCAACGUAUUCAUCUCUAUUCAUAGGCUUUAGCACAAUUCUAAUUAUACGAUUGACAAGUCUCCCUCUCUUCACAAAGCACCAUACAACAAGCAAGGACUACAUCAACAACUUAUC
rnacentral:lncRNA from 1 species